UUUUACUCCAUGCCACCCUGAACAAGCCCGAUCCCAUCUGAUCUCGGAAGCUAAGCAGGGUUGGGCCUGGUUAGUACUUGGAUGGGAGACCACUUAGGAAGACCAGGCGCCGUAGGCA
rnacentral:rRNA from 1 species